rnacentral:rRNA from 1 species
GACGGGGGGGGCAAGUGUUCUUCGGAAUGACUGGGCGUAAAGGGCACGUAGGCGGUGAAUCGGGUUGAAAGUGAAAGUCGCCAAAAAGUGGCGGAAUGCUCUCGAAACCAAUUCACUUGAGUGAGACAGAGGAGAGUGGAAUUCGUGUGUAGGGUGAAAUCCGUAAAUAUACGAAGGAACGCCAAAAGCGAAGGACAGCUCUCUGGGUCCCUACCCGACGCUGGGGUGCGAAAGCAUGGGGAGCGAACAGG